GGCGCAGGCACCCUCCCGGGAGGUCCCGGUCCUUGCAGCCCGCGGCCGCGUUCUUGGCCCUCCUCCAGGGGAACCUCGAUUUUCCAAACUCGGGAAGGCCGGCUGUCCUUCGGCUACUGAUUAGGACGCGAGCGCCUGAUAAAAGAUUUUAACAAUGCCCGGAAAGAAAUAGCCGGACCCAGGAAAGACUAAUAAUAGCCGCCAGCUAGAGUUCUGCUCGUGUGCUCAGCGGUCUUAAGAACAAUAAUAACGACAACCACAAUAGCCACCAUUUAUUGAGCGCUUACUGUGUGCCAGGCACUGUGUUCAGCGCUUUGCAGGCAACAACCCUCGGAGGUGAGGUCACAAGACUGGUAAGUAGCGAUGCUGGGAAUCUACCAGGAGUAUCUGACUUUAAAGUGAUGUUCCCAUCACCCAUCACGCAGAAUGUACAAGGUGAUACAGCUGAACAAAAGAGGAGUGGCUCAGAGACCAGAAGACUGAGGGAGAGUAAGGAAGACUUUUCCAUUACCUGAGUUGCAGAGCUGUUUGGGUCUAGAGAACCUGUAUAUGUGUGCUGUGUCUGCACGGAGUUCAUGACUAUGCAUCCUCUGGCUAAUGUCCAAAGUCUUCAUAACAUGGGGACUGAGAUGUACCAAAAGAAGGCCUAUCUGUGAAGGAGGACAUGUGUCCACCCACCAAGAAGUUUUUGAUGGUCAGUGUCUGCGUGUUCAGCUGCUGGAUGAAGAGAUUUGGAAACCACUAAACAUUCCUACUGGGAUCUUUCCAAGUCCUUUUGGGAAUCGGCAACAGCGCUUAUCCGGGGAAAUUAGUUUUGCACUUUCACGGAGUGAGAAAUUCCUCGGGGGCAUUCUUGUUUUUGGGAAGAGGAAUCAAACCCUGCUCACUCCUUCAGGGCCCUGGCUCUUAGUAAAGCACAGCGAAUCCCAGUUUGGUUGGUCCAGCCUGGGGCCUUGGGGUGGGAGCAGAUGCAGCAGCGGAGUACAGCGAAUUUCACCUGUGGCUAAGUCCCUACCCGCCCCCCCCCGCGACUGGCGCAAGCGUGAGAUUUCAGUGGAUCGUGUUACCAGCGUGUAAACACCUUGAGUGGCCGCCAACGCUCCCAAGCGACCACAGAAGAUCUCAAACCUUUCCUAUCUUCCUAGAAACCCUGGCGGCCCGGCCGGCUGCUUGCUGUCUGAUGCAACAGUUUGCAACGCUGUUCUGGGAGCCUAGCCGGCCGCGGGGCGCUGGGCGUCCUGCCGAUGCGCCUGCGCGGGCUGCGGCCCGUCCUGCCGGGAGGGGGAGAAGCUUUUCACCAGAUGUGCUGGGGGCGGGGCGGGCAGGGAGACCUUUGGCAGCUCGCGCUGGCGAUCUGAGCUUAAUUAAACUUCUCCCGAGGCAUUGGCUGACUGAUUGACCCAGUGAUCCAAAAAAAUCAGAGAGGCCCGAAUCGCCCUAAACGCGACAGGAGAGCGAAGUUGGGGAGUUGGCUUUCGGUUUCCAGAGCUCGGCGUCUCUUCCCCGAGCCCCCCAAGUCCGCAAUGCUUUCGGGGUUCCAAAGCUCACUAGGGCGUCAGGUCUCGCUUGCCUGGGCCCUUCUACUGAAUUCUCAAAGAGGGAAGAAGAGUGGUUACAGAGGAGAAAAGAGGCAAAGUUUUGAUAGCAUCUAGAUCAGUAUCUUUCCUCCUUCAUUUCCCCACCCAUGUGCCUUAGAAGGUUUUAUAAGCAAAAAGGAACAUGGCAUCACGGAUUUUUUCCCAAAUUUUUGAGCCAUUUAGGUAUUGCCUGCAUGAUUUUCUUCCAUACUCACAUUCCUCCUAUAUUAUAUAUUUUAAGUUGACUUUUAUUUUAUUAACUUUCCUUAUUUUUAAAAUUAACUUUAAAUCGA